GGGAAUCUUGAUGAUGCUGCA
rnacentral:ncRNA from 2 species